GCCGCGCGCGGUGGUGCAUGCCUGUAGUCUCAGCUACUCAGGAGGCUGAGGUGGAAGGAUUGCUUGAGCCCAGGAGCUCUGGGCUGUAGUGCGCUAUGCUGAUCGGGUGUCCGCACUAAGUUCAGCAUCAAUAUGGUGACCUCCCGGGAGCGGGGGACCACCAGGUUGUCUAAGGAGGGGUGAACCAGCCCAGGUCAGAAACGGAGCAGGUCAAAACUCCCGUGCUGAUCAGUAGUGGGAUCGCGCCCGUGAAUAGCCACUGCACUCCAGCCUGGGCAACAUAGCGAGACUCUGUCUCU
rnacentral:SRP_RNA from 1 species